rnacentral:rRNA from 1 species
ACGAACGCUGGCGGCGUGCUUAACACCUGCCAGUCGAACGGAAAGGCCCUGCUUUUGUGGGGUGCUCGAGUGGCGAACGGGUGAGUAACACGUGAGUAACCUGCCCUUGACUUUUGGAUAACUUCAGGAAACUGGGGCUAAUACCGGAUAGGAGCUCCUGCUGCAUGGUGGGGGUUGGAAAGUUUCGGCGGUUGGGGAUGGACUCGCGGCUUAUCAGCUUGUUGGUGGGGUAGUGGCUUACCAAGGCUUUGACGGGUAGCCGGCCUGAGAGGGUGACCGGCCACAUUGGGACUGAGAUACGGCCCAGACUCCUACGGGAGGCAGCAGUGGGGAAUAUUGCACAAUGGGCGGAAGCCUGAUGCAGCAACGCCGCGUGCGGGAUGACGGCCUUCGGGUUGUAAACCGCUUUCGCCUGUGACGAAGCGUGAGUGACGGUAAUGGGUAAAGAAGCACCGGCUAACUACGUG